UACGUAGGUGGCAAGCGUUGUCCGGAUUUACUGGGCGUAAAGCGUGCGCAGGCGGUUCUAUAAGACAGAUGUGAAAUCCCCGGGCUCAACCUGGGAACUGCAUUUGUGACUGUAGAGCUGGAGUGCGGCAGAGGGGGAUGGAAUUCCGCGUGUAGCAGUGAAAUGCGCAGAUAUCGGGAAGAACACCAGUGGCGAAAGCGCUCUACUGGGCCAUAACUGACACUGAGGGACGAAAGCUAGGGGAGCGAAAGGG
rnacentral:rRNA from 1 species